rnacentral:rRNA from 1 species
CAGUGCGAUAACGGGACUCCUAGUGCGAGGGCAUACAGUCCUCGUUUUUGUGCACCGUAAGGUGGUACACGAAUAAGGGCUGGGCAAGACCGGUGCCAGCCGCCGCGGUAAUACCGGCAGCCCGAGUGAUGCCCGAUAUUAUUGGGCCUAAAGCGUCCGUAGCCGGCCGGACAAGUCCGUCGGGAAAUCCCCCCGCUUAACCGGUGGGCGUCCGGCGGAAACUGUACGGCUUGGGGCCGGAAGACUCGAGGGGUACGUCCGGGGUAGGAGUGAAAUCCUGUAAUCCUGGACGGACCACCGGUGGCGAAAGCGCCUCGGGAGGACGGAUCCGACGGUGAGGGACGAAAGCUAGGGUCUCGAACCGGAUUAGAUACCCGGGUAGUCCUAGCUGUAAACGAUGCUCGCUAGGUGUGGCGCAGGCUACGAGCCUGCGCUGUGCCGCAGGGAAGCCGUGAAGCGGGCCGCC